GGGAAAGAGGUGGCAUCGGCGGUUCAAGACUGAGUUUUCUAUCUCUUCAGUGCCUCUUUCAACAAUGAAGAUCAAACCAGGUUUUGUGCAAAUAUCUGCUGAGUGAACUACUUAUUUGAAAAUACAUCAUUGGUUAAUAUUCCCUUUUGCUCAUUGAAAUCUCAAAGACUACAGACCCCGCACAAGACAUUCUGACAUUCCCGUCUUUGAAAUGAAUGACAGCAAUGAUAAAUAUGGCUCACCUCCAGAGAUACAGAUCUCACAACUUCAUAUUUUUAAUAUAAAUUAUUAAUCUGAGAAGCAGAGAGAGAUAAGACCCAUGAUAAUCAAGCCAUAAACAGAUGCAUUUACUAGCUGAAUGGCCAACAAUGGAAUUCAACAAAUCCAUCUUGAGCACGGCAGCCAGGAGUGUGGUGCAAUUCCAUUAGAUGAAAGAGAUCUACACAUUCAGAAGCACAUGAUUCUUCCCCCUUCCAUGAUUCCAGUGGCCAAUAGACAAACUACAAUAAAGCCAUGCCCUGACUGGAUGUGCCUAACAUUUGUCUGGUGCUUAAAGGAGUUGGCUGCAUGCGUGGAAAUGUUGGAAAGUCACCAAAAAUAGUUCUCCAAGUCAGAAGCGGUGCAAAAGCUGCCUCAGCUCUUGGUGGAUUUUCAAUUUCUCCCAGCCAUCUCUGUUUCGCUAAAGGUUUCUGAAGACAGUGGGGGAAGCUUUUUUCUCCUCCCCAUCCUGAUCACUAGUAUGAGAAGGGGUGCUAAUGGACCAGCCUUGGCCUUGCAGAUGAAGAUGAUGAAGGAAGAAGAUGUAUAAAGAACCUCUGAAAGAGUCCCAGUUUUACAUUUCAAAGUCUUUUUCCUUCUGUUGUUUAUUGUGUUGGGUUGGAGUGGAGGAUAUUUGAUGGAGAAUUGAUUCUGAAACUUGCCAAAAUAUGGAUAAUACUUUGCUCCUUUUCCAUUGUGGGUUAUCACAAAGAAGAGUUUCACUUUUAGUCAUCUAUUUACAGUCUAGAAACAGGAACAAACCCAAACCAAGCAGAAAAACAGAAAUAACCAAGAUCAAAACGGAACUAAAUGAAAUUGAAAUGAAAAAGUACAAAGAUAAAUGAAACAAAAACCUGGUUUAUUGAAAAGUUAAAUAAAAUUGAUAAUUCAA
rnacentral:lncRNA from 1 species